AGCCCCUCCAAGAUAAGUGCAAAUAUAUACAUCCAAAGCCCCUCCAAGAUAUAAGUGCAUGUGUGUAUAUUUCAACUCAUGGAUGGCCAAAAGCAAAGAAGAGAAGCCAUAAAGGUGAAGUAUAUAGACAGCCCAGUGUUGGUAAAUGCCAAAAAUGCAACUGAAUUUCGUGCCAUUGUUCAACAACUCACUGGAAAAACUCCUCAAAAAAGGGCCAAUGGUACAAUUGAUGAUAACAAUAAUGUGGAUGAGUUACUCUGGAAAGAACUUUCACAAGGCAUAUCCAUAUAUCAAUACCUAGAUUUCUAGUCUUCUUUAAGACACCAAAUCAGUACGGUAUCUUUACCGGGAACCGAGCUAGGGGUGGAACAAAUUCAUCGAAAUUACAUAAUAUUUGAUGUAUAUAUAGUAGAUGUUGAAACUCUUGGCUUCUUCGUGAAUUUACUUCUUUAUAAUUUGAAUUUUCUUAGUGAAUUAAAAUUCUGGUUCCACCACUGAUUGUAACAUACAUCUUAUGUCUAAAUAUAACCUCCAGAUAUAUCAUCUGAUGUUACUAA